GACGAACGCUGGCGGCGUGCCUAAUACAUGCAAGUAGAACGCAGUUGCGAACGGGUGAGUAACGCGUAGGUAACCUGCCUCAUAGCGGGGGAUCACUAUUGGAAACGAUAGCUAAUACCGCAUACUUUGAGAUGGAUCGGCGUUGUAUUAGCUAGUUGGGGAGGUAAAGGCUCAACAAGGCGACGAUACAUAGCCGACCUGAGAGGGUGAUCGGCCACACUGGGACUGAGACACGGUCCAGACGCCUACGGUAGGCAGCAGUGGGGAAUAUUGCACAAUGGGCGCAAGCCUGAUGCAGCCAUGCCGCGUGUAUGAAGAAGGCCUUCGGGUUGUAAAGUACUUUCAGCGGGGAGGCGUUACCCGCAGAAGAAGCACCGGCUAACUCCGUGCCAGCAGCCGCGGUAAUUC
rnacentral:rRNA from 1 species